GCCGCUGAGCCUGGUCGUUUUACCCAUGUGCCUGCUUCACCAUUUUCUGCCUGCAUCUGCUUGAAUCUGGCUGUUGCCUUGGUGCCUUGACCUUACGUCCAUCAGUGGCCCGUGCUGUAGUGGUUGGAGGGGAGUGACAGGCAGCAGAGGGCAAAUAAAAUACCUGUGAAUCAAACCGUGGUUUAGGUACAACCCCACCUGAAAAUGGACUCUCAGAGCACCCCUGUGAAACAGAACAGAUAAAUGCAAAGAGAAAAGAUACAACCAGUGACAAAGAUGAUUCGCUAGGAAGCCAACAAACAAAUGAACAAUGUGCUCAAAAGGCUGAGCCAACAGAGUCCUGCGAACAAGUUGCUGUCCAAGUGAAUAAUGGGGAUGCUGAAAGGGAGAUGCCCUGCCCGUUGCCCUGUGAUGAAGAAAGCCCAGAGGCAGAGCUACACAACCAUGGAAUCCAAAUUAAUUCCUGUUCUGUGCGACUGGUGGAUAU
rnacentral:sRNA from 1 species